GCCAAAAUCAAAAACAGACGCUACAGCACAUGGACUUCGCCAUUUUGCAUUGGACUGGAUCGUCAUCUCACUAGUUUACGAUCGCCAAAUUGUAGGUGAGUAAAGUUAACAAGUUUGAUGUGAUUAUCUAAAAUAUAAUUGUCUGUUGUUUAAUUACAUGUGUGACGCGUUGCAUGUUUCAGAGUAAAAUACACCUCACUACACAGAUGGUCUGUUGGAAUAUACAGCAUCAUUUCAUCGUCUAUACGGUGGGACAACCUGCUAGACAGGUUGAAGACAUCUGUAUCUACCUCAAAGAAGGCAUGGAGAGACACAUUAAAGAAUAUGUGGUAAGUGUAUGUCAACCUACUCUAUUUUUAUAUCUAUCUAUUUAUAUGUAUGUGUAUGGGUAUGUGUGUGUGUAUAAAUAUCUUAUGGAUAACUAGAUGUUUAAACAAGGUGAUCUGUUUUCAG